AUGCUCUCACAAAUGAAAAACAAGGAGACAGAUACACGCGGUUACAUACUGAUGCAACAUGUACGGCAUCACCUACUCCCAUGGAUCGCUUCCUCACUGCAAACCCGAUUCUGCCGGCUGGCCACGUCCGCCAGGAACUGGGCAAACGCCAAGCGCGACGUCCCGCCAUCAUCGCAAGCCGUGGCCGCGGCUUCCUUGUACGCCGCCGCCCGCGCUCUGAGUUCUCUACCCUCCUCAGACUCCAUGACAAGCCUUACCUUGGCCUCUACCUCGCCGGCCUUGACCAGCCCCUGCUGCCACCCGACCAUCUCGGCGGCGAUCCCCAUGUCCCCCACCAUGUGCACCUUGUUCAUCUUCUGCUCCGAGUACAGCGGCCAGCACAGCAUCGGCACGCCCGCCGUGACGCCCUCCAGCACCGAAUUCCACCCGCAGUGCGUCACGAAUGCCCCCGUGGCCUUGUGGCGGAGGACUUCCACCUGUGGAGCCCACAGCUUGACGAUGAGGCCACGGGCGUUGGUGCGCUCCAUGAACCCGUCCGGCAGGAGCGCGUCGAGGUCGGUGUCGGCACCGGGGUCGUGGCUGGCGGGGGCUCGCACAACCCACAAGAAGCGGUGGCCGGACUUGUCGAGGCCGACGGCGAUCUCCCGGAGCUGCUCCUCGGAGUGGCUUCCAGUGCCUAUGCUCCCGAAGCAGAGGAACACGACGCUGCGGUCGGGUUGGCCGUCUAGCCAGGCAAGGCACUCGUGCCGCUCUUUUGCCUCGGCGUCGGCGAUGCUGCUGACAAAUGGGCCGAUGCAGUACACUGGAGGCAAUGCCCGACCGGGGAUACACCGAGGGUCCCUGAGAGCAGCCACCGCCCGAGACUCCAGCGACUCGAACGUAUUCACCAGCGUGCCGUCGGCCUCCGGGAUACGGCACAGCAAGGCCAUCGUCGCCUUGUAUGUGUCGCUCUCCGGGUCCUCGAGCACCUCGCCCGACAGGUGCGAAGCCGGCAUGGGCGGAAGGCCGAAGAGCUCGAGAGGGGUGUCUCCAAGCUCCUUGAAGCUCGCACCGCCCUCUGCGAGGACCGUAGGGAGCUGGGCGAAGGCAACGAAGGUGGCGGCGCUGGAAGUGAACAAGGUGUACCCGGGGAUCCCGAGCCUCUUCACGACACGAAGCGCCUCGUUGGACACCGAGUCGACGACCACAGCGUGGACGUUCCGGGCGUGCAUGGAGCAGAGGAAGUCGUGGAGGCGCUCGUUGUAA
rnacentral:rRNA from 1 species